GAUGAACGCUAGCGGCAGGCUUAAUACAUGCAAGUCGUGGGGCAGCACAGUCCGCCGAAAGGCGGAUGGGUGGCGACCGGCAAACGGGUGCGGAACACGUACGCAACCUUCCUACAGGCGGGGAAUAGCCCAGAGAAAUUUGGAUUAAUACCCCAUAAAAUUUUAAGAUGGCAUCAUCUUAUUAUUAAAGCUUCGGCACCUGAAGAUGGGCGUGCGGCUGAUUAGGUAGNGGCGGGGUAACGGCCCACCAAGCCUGCGAUCAGUAGCUGAUGUGAGAGCAUGAUCAGCCACACGGGCACUGGAGACACGGGCCCGACUCCUACGGGAGGCAGCAGUAGGGAAUCUUGCGCAAGUGGCGAAAGCCUGACGCAGCGACGCCGCGUGUGGGAUGAAUGCCUUC
rnacentral:rRNA from 1 species